CGUUCCUUGGUUUUUCAUGAUUUUGAUGACCUGCUGUAUAUGUUUUCAUAUCCAUCGAAACAUAACGAGAAGGAUGUCCAAAUCUUCAUCAGCCGGGAGAUUUGUGAACAAUCUUUGUUUAAUUUGGUUUACCACAAGUUGUUUUACAUGCUGACGUUGAUGGACUGGUGGAAGGUGAUGAAAGGCAAACGCAUCUGGAACAAUGAUUCAACGUUAGACAAAGAAACAACGCGUGAAGCGAGCAUAGGUGGCGAUAUUCUAACAUUGUAGUUGAAGUUGGUAGUGGAAUCUGAGAAAUCUAUGUUGAUAGUAUUAAGGCAUGUACGCGGACGAAUCGAAACAGGCUAAAAAGAAAAGGUUUUAAACCAAAAUUUGAAAAAUACAAAAAAGUGAAUCUUAGGUUUUAAAUUUUGCGUUUUAGCUGGCACGUGUUUAAUUUAUAAUCAUUGUUUUCAAUAGUAUUGUAAAAUCAAAACAUGAGUAUAGAUCACAAAACUGAAGAAAGUGGAAAACAUGCACCGUGAGCGGCAUUUUUCAAUCAGAUUGAAGUUACUUAGGGAUAAAUCCCAUCGCACAAGCCACUAAGUAGGACGAACAUUUUUUUGGUGCAGCAAGCACCUAUGUGGAAGUAAUGUGUGGUUCAGGUGGUAAUAGUUUUUCACAAAAAAGAACGAUUGCGUUCGCAGUUUUGAAAUCAAAAAAUAAA